rnacentral:rRNA from 1 species
GAUGAACGCUGGCGGCGUGCCUAAUACAUGCAAGUCGUGCGGCAGCGGAUUCUGCACUAUCAACUUGAAGCCUGGACGCGGGGAUUUCCAAAGGAAAUCAGCCGCAUCACUCCGAAAGGAGUGAAGGUCUGGGAUUAGUUCGAAGGGAUAGUGCAGAAUGCCGGCGAGCGGCGGACGGGUGAGUAACACGUAGGAAUGUACCCCAAAGUGAGGGAUAAGCAUCGGAAACGGUGUCUAAUACCGCAUAUGGUCUUCGGAUUAAAGGAUUUAUCCGCUUUGGGCACAGCCUGCGCCCGAUUAGGUUGUUGGUGAGGUAAUGGCUCACCAAGCCCACGAUCGGUAGCUGGUCUGAGAGGAUGAUCAGCCACACUGGAACUGAGACACGGUCCAGACUCCUACGGGGAGCAGCAGUAA